rnacentral:lncRNA from 1 species
CGUGCUUUUUAAGGGGAGGGAAUCCUGAAGCCUCAAGUCGGACAUUUCUUGAGAGCGCCGAAAGCAGCUUUACCGCAGACAGACGGGAGGACCAUGGGAUGCAGCACACUGUGGAAUGGGGUGACAGCCUUGAUGACAGGGAGACCAGCUUUCCACACUUGUUCAAUCAGCAAGAAUUGGUCAGCACUUUCUGCAAUCCCUGCCAUUGGGAGGCCCAGGCUGGUGGAUCGAUGGAGCGGGGGAGUUCUGAGACACAGAGGGGUAAGCCAAUUGCGGGUCUGCCCUACCUUUGACAUUACUAUGGAGAGCCUGCCCCUGUCAUUGGUUGGGUGUGGGGAGGAUCAGUUUGCUUAAGGUUUGAAAACAGAGCAGGUCAAAACUCCUGAGCUAAUCUGUGAUGGACUGAAUCCUGAGUAGCUCCUGCAUUUCCACCCUGGGCUUGCAAGAUAGGGAGAACCAGGCUUUAAAACAAAGCAAAAAAGGAAUUUAUUAAGCACCCACUAUGUGUCAGGGACUUCACUAGGGCUGAGGGUAGAAAGACAUCAAUGAAAGGAGCUUACCUACUCCCUGGGGAGACAAACCCACAAAUUAGUAUAUACACAAUUUUUGUUUGUUUGUUCGUUUGGCAAUGGGGUCUGAGGCCGAAUUUGAACUUGGCUUCUCCUGAAUCCAGGGCCGGUGCUCUAUCCACUGCGCCUCCUAGCUGCCCCGUGCACACAGUUUUUGAAGGGAAACUAGACCUAUGAUUUCAUUCAUGUUGUUAAUUCCCAGGAGUGGAAACUCCCUCCACUAAUUCAAGUCACAACUUUCUCUGUAGUCUUAGAGAGCUGGCUGGGGACUCCCUGCCCAGCCAGGGUUAACCAGAUACCAUGGGUCAGAGACUGGACAUGAGUUCAGAUCUUCCUGAUUCUGGGGCCAUCUCUUCGUCCACCACACCACGCCACACUGACCCCUAUAGGUAAAAUAAGUAUGUGCACAACAAAUCCAAGGUGAUUUCUGGGAGGUGGGGUAGGUAGGGUGGCCAGGAGAUGACAUUAUCAUUCUCUCCUCCUCUACUCCCUCAGUUCACACAUCCAAUCAAUUGCCAGAUUUUACAGUUUCUACCUGUGUCUUCAAUCGGACCCCUCGCACCUUUUGCCUAGAUGAUUCCUACAGCCUUGGAAUUAAGGUUAGACGUGGAAUUGUGGGGAGUCUUCCGGCUCCAGACUGGCUGCUGCCCAAUCAAUUUCCUUAAGCACAGAUCUAACCCUGGGAGUCCUGGACUCCCCCCGUUCCAGUGACUCCUAAUUACCUCUAGAAUCACAAGUGAAUUCUUCUGGUUGGCUCUUAAGGCUCUUUACAACCUCACCUAAGUCUGCAUUUCCAGCCUUAUUGAACAUUGCUCAGUCAGCUCCCAGCAAUAGCUGGCAUUUAUUAAGGUAAUAAAUGGAACCUGGGCUGCCCA